rnacentral:rRNA from 1 species
ACGGGGUUAAAAGCUCCGGCGGUGAAGGAUGAGCCCGCGGCCUAUCAGCUUGUUGGUGGGGUAAUGGCCUACCAAGGCGACGACGGGUAGCCGGCUGAGAGGGCGACCGGCCACACUGGGACUGAGACACGGCCCAGACUCCUACGGGAGGCAGCAGUGGGGAAUAUUGCACAAUGGGCGAAGCCUGAUGCAGCGACGCCGCGUGAGGGAUGACGGCCUUCGGGUUGU